UACGGAGGGUGCAAGCGUUGUUCGGAUUUACUGGGCGUAAAGCGUGCGUAGGCUGUAUCGAGAGUCGUGGGUGAAAUCCCUGGGCUUAACCCAGGAACUGCCUGCGAGACCUCAGUACUAGAGUGUGAGAGGGGAUAGUGGAAUUCCAGGUGUAGCGGUAAAAUGCGUAGAGAUCUGGAGGAACACCGGUGGCGAAGGCGGCAUACUGGUCCAUUACUGACGCUGAGGCUCGAAAGCGUGGGGAGCAAACAGG
rnacentral:rRNA from 1 species